UACGUAGGGGGCUAGCGUUGUCCGGAAUCAUUGGGCGUAAAGAGCGUGUAGGCGGCCCGGUAAGUCCGCUGUGAAAGUCGGGGGCUCAACCCUCGAAUGCCGGUGGAUACUGCCGGGCUAGAGUGCGGAAGAGGAGUGUGGAAUUCCUGGUGUAGCGGUGAAAUGCGCAGAUAUCAGGAAGAACACCUAUGGCGAAGGCAGCACUCUGGGACGGUACUGACGCUGAGACGCGAAAGCGUGGGGAGCGAACAGG
rnacentral:rRNA from 1 species